AUAUGAUCGUUAAUAAUAUGAUUAACAGCAAUUUUAUCAUCUUGCAUUUUGAAGUGCUUUAUGAUUUAUAAGCGCUGAAUCUCAUAAACAGAGACUCAGAGUUUGAAUCAUUUGCCUAAGGUGUGAGCACAGAUCUGGACACCCAGCUCAGUGAAUGGAGAAGAUCAGGGAAAGUCUGAAUGAAGGCCAGCAGGCAGUAUCAGCCGAACCAAGAAGGGCCAUAAAGCUGCAGACCAGGAAAUCUGCCCUCUGAGAGCACAGAAUUUAGAAUGGACAGCAAAUUUAGUAAAAGUAGGUGUUCCAGCUAGAAGAUUUGGAUGAAAAGUGAUUCCAAAAAAAUGAGGCAAUCUCAUCCCGAAACUAUUUAAAACUACUCUCCUCUCUCUUGAUAAACCGUCAGUAGGAAGUGUGUCGUUUAUUCCCUCACUCCACACUGGAUUCAUAUGGGCUGAUAGCAGCAGGAUUAAAAAUUUUUUUCAUCAUGAGUUAAA
rnacentral:lncRNA from 1 species